AGCGAACGCUGGCGGCAGGCCUAACACAUGCAAGUCGAACGAACUCUUCGGAGUUAGUGGCGGACGGGUGAGUAACACGUGGGAACGUGCCUUUUGGUUCGGAAUAACUCAGGGAAACUUGUGCUAAUACCGAAUGUGCCCUUCGGGGGAAAGAUUUAUCGCCAUUAGAGCGGCCCGCGUCUGAUUAGCUAGUUGGUGAGGUAACGGCUCACCAAGGCGACGAUCAGUAGCUAGUCUGAGAGGAUGACUAGCCACACUGGGACUGAGACACGGCCCAGACUCCUACGGGAGGCAGCAGUGGGGAAUCUUGCGCAAUGGGCGAAAGCCUGACGCAGCCAUGCCGCGUGAAUGAUGAAGGUCUUAGGAUUGUAAAAUUCUUUCACCGGGGACGAUAAUGACGGUACCCGGAGAAGAAGCCCCGGCUAACUUCGUG
rnacentral:rRNA from 1 species